AUGUACAUGCCUACAACAUAGCGUUAAUGCAUCAGAUCCCAUUAUAACUCUGCAAUUAAGCGCGCUCAGGCUAGAGUAGUAUUAUGAUGGGUGACCGCUUAGGAAGUCCCAAUAUUUUACAUC
rfam:Picea glauca, whole genome shotgun sequence.